UAUUGGACAAUGGGGGAAACCCUGAUCCAGCGACGCCGCGUGAGUGAGGAAGUAUUUCGGUAUGUAAAGCUCUAUCAGCAGGGAAGAAAGAAAUGACGGUACCUGACUAAGAAGCCCCGGCUAACUACGUGCCAGCAGCCGCGGUAAUACGUAGGGGGCCAGCGUUAUCCGGAUUUACUGGGUGUAAAGGGUGCGUAGACGGUAAGGCAAGUCAGAUGUGAAAGCCCGGGGCUCAACCGCGGGACUGCAUUUGAAACUGUCCUACUGGAGGGCAGGAGAGGUAAGUGGAAUUCCUAGUGUAGCGGUGAAAUGCGUAGAUAUUAGGGGGAACACCAGUGGCGAAGGCGGCUUACUGGACUGUAACUGACGUUGAGGCUCGAAAGCGUGGGGAGCAAAU
rnacentral:rRNA from 1 species